AGAACGAACGCUGGCGGCAUGCCUAACACAUGCAAGUCGAACGAGACCUUCGGGUCUAGUGGCGCACGGGUGCGUAACGCGUGGGAAUCUGCCCUUGGGUUCGGAAUAACAGUUGGAAACGACUGCUAAUACCGGAUGAUGACGUAAGUCCAAAGAUUUAUCGCCCAGGGAUGAGCCCGCGUAGGAUUAGCUAGUUGGUGAGGUAAAGGCUCACCAAGGCGACAAUCCUUAGCUGGUCUGAGAGGAUGAUCAGCCACACGUGGGACUGAGACACGGCCCAGACUCCGUACGGGGAGGCAGCAGGUAGGGGAAUAGUUAGGACAAG
rnacentral:rRNA from 1 species